UACGGAGGGUACGAACGUUAAUCGGAAUUACUGGGCGUAAAGCGCGCGUAGGCGGUUUGAUAAGUGGGAUGUGAAAGCCCCGGGCUCAACCUGGGAACUGCAUUCCAAACUGUCAAACUAGAGUGUGGUAGAGGGAGGUAGAAUUUCCUGUGUAGCGGUGAAAUGCGUAGAUAUAGGAAGGAAUACCGAUGGCGAAGGCAGCCUCCUGGACCAACACUGACGCUGAGGUGCGAAAGCGUGGGGAGCAAACAGG
rnacentral:rRNA from 1 species